UACAAAAACAAAUGUAGAUCACUUUGGAUAAAAGUGUCUGCUAAAUGACGUAUU
rfam:Salmo salar isolate Sally breed double haploid chromosome ssa07, whole genome shotgun sequence.